GACGAACGCUGGCGGCGUGCCUAAUACAUGCAAGUAGAACGCUGAAGGAGGAGCUUGCUUCUCCGGAUGAGUUGCGAACGGGUGAGUAACGCGUAGGUAACCUGCCUGGUAGCGGGGGAUAACUAUUGGAAACGAUAGCUAAUACCGCAUAACAGUAGAUAUUGCAUGAUAUCUGCUUGAAAGGUGCAAUUGCAUCACUACCAGAUGGACCUGCGUUGUAUUAGCUAGUUGGUGAGGUAACGGCUCACCAAGGCGACGAUACAUAGCCGACCUGAGAGGGUGAUCGGCCACACUGGGACUGAGACACGGCCCAGACUCCUACGGGAGGCAGCAGUAGGGAAUCUUCGGCAAUGGACGGAAGUCUGACCGAGCAACGCCGCGUGAGUGAAGAAGGUUUUCGGAUCGUAAAGCUCUGUUGUAAGAGAAGAACGAGUGUGAGAGUGGAAAGUUCACACUGUGACG
rnacentral:rRNA from 1 species